rnacentral:rRNA from 1 species
UUGAACGCUGGCGGCAGGCCUAACACAUGCAAGUCGAGCGGAUGAAGGGAGCUUGCUCCUGGAUUCAGCGGCGGACGGGUGAGUAAUGCCUAGGAAUCUGCCUGGUAGUGGGGGAUAACGUCCGGAAACGGGCGCUAAUACCGCAUACGUCCUGAGGGAGAAAGUGGGGGAUCUUCGGACCUCACGCUAUCAGAUGAGCCUAGGUCGGAUUAGCUAGUUGGUGGGGUGAAGGCCUACCAAGGCGACGAUCCGUAACUG